rnacentral:rRNA from 1 species
AGUUCGGAUUGCAGGCUGCAACUCGCCUGCAUGAAGCUGGAAUUGCUAGUAAUCGCGGAUCAGCAAGCCGCGGUGAAUACGUUCCCGGGCCUUGUACACACCGCCCGUCACACCAUGAGAGUCGGGAACACCCGAAGUCCGUAGUCUAGCCGCAAGGGGGCGCGGCCGAAGGUGGGUCCGGUAAUUGGGGUGAAGUCGUAACAAGGUAGC